AGUGAUUUUUUUUUAAAUGGCCGCAGUACCUUGACUGUGCUAAGGUAGCAUAAUCAAUUGGCUUCUAAUUAAAGUCUGGAAUGAAAGGAAAUAUGAAGUAAUUCUAUCUUAAAGGAUUUUUUUUGAAUUUAUUUAAAUGAUGAAAAUAUCAUUUUAUAGAAAAAAGACGAGAAGACCCUUAGAGUUUUGAUAUUUAUAUAUUUUUGUUGGGGCGACAGGUAAACAUAUAACUUUACGAAUUAUCAUUGAUCGAUUAUUUAUAAGAAUAAUAAAACUACCUUAGGGAUAACAGCAUUAUAUUUUUUUAUGAUUGUGACCUCGAUGUUGGACUAGGAACUUUAUGGCUAGCCGUCAAAAAAGAUUUGUUCUGUUCGAACAAUUUUAUCCUACAUGAUCUGAG
rnacentral:rRNA from 1 species